AGUGAACGCUGGCGGUAGGCCUAACACAUGCAAGUCGAACGGCAGCACAGUAAGAGCUUGCUCUUACGGGUGGCGAGUGGCGGACGGGUGAGGAAUACAUCGUAAUCUACUUUUUCGUGGGGGAUAACGUAGGGAAACUUACGCUAAUACCGCAUACGACCUACGGGUGAAAGCAGGGGAUCUUCGGACCUUGCGCGAUUGAAUGAGCCGCUGUCGGAUUAGCUAGUUGGCGGGGUAAAGGCCCACCAAGGCGACGAUCCGUAGCUGGUCUGAGAGGAUGAUCGGCCACACUGGAACUGAGACACGGUCCAGACGCCUACGGGAGGGAGCAGUGGGGAAUAGUGGACAAUGGGCGCAAGCCUGAUCCAGCCAUACCGAGUGUGUGAAGAAGGCCUUCGGGUUGUAAAGACCUUUUGUUGGGAAAGAAAAGCAGCAGGUUAAUACCACGCUGUUCUGACGGUACCCAAAGAAUAAGCACCGGCUAACUUCGUG
rnacentral:rRNA from 1 species